AUCAACAUUCAUUUUGGAGGUAGCUGAGGACAGAAAAAGGAAUUCCCAGAGGGCAGGGCUGGGGGUUCACCAAGAGCAAGGGAAGCAGGAGGUAGCAGCAGAGAGUGAGUGAUGCUUCCUCUCCUGCCAGGCAAGGAGACUUCACAAGUUCUUCUCAGAAUUUGGGGUGCCUGUGGUGAGUGACUGGACUGCUCACCAUUUUCCAUUUUGCUCUUAUGGAAGGGAGUCCCAGGCCUCCAUCUGUCCCUGCAUGCUUGUUACAUAUGAGCAUAUCUGGGGGGAAUAUGACCUGAAGUUUGCUUCCUGGGAAACACCAGCAAACACUGCAUCCAAUCUGAUGGACAGGACUGGGAAACUGGAUUCUUCUGGCUGCUCCUGGGGAUAUGAUCCGUGAUUUUCCCAACAUAAGUGAGGAGAGUGGCGCAUCACAUGCCCAGAGCCCACACAGCUGGGAGGUAAUUCAUGAAAACAUUCAACUUAGAUCCACCUCACAGUAUGUACUUCAUGAGGACUGUGACUUCUGUGAUGACUGGUGCCACACCUUGGACAUCUAGCACCAUCUACAUGGUCUCAAUAUUCAUCUAGGGACAGCAUGGGCUCUGCCAUGGUGUCAUGCGUUGAAGCUCAAUAAGUUUCGGUCUCUGGUCUCAAAGAGGUGUAAAGAGAAACAUGAUGAUUACCAGUGAGUUAUACCAGGUGGCCGGUAGGAUUGGGCAUAGACACGCAAGGCUUUGGAGAGGCGAGGAUACUAAAAUCCAGAGAUAUAUAUAUAUAAAGAAAAAAAAAUAUAUUUUCUUAUUUUAGUCAUAAACCAGAGAUUUUAUGUUAUAAGAAAAGAUAAAGAAAGGUCUAGUAUGUUUAAGAUCUAUAUUAAGUUUUUUGAAAGAAGCAUAAAAGAUCUCUGGCCUAAGGACAUUCUGAU
rnacentral:lncRNA from 1 species